rnacentral:tRNA from 1 species
GCGGGCUUGGCCGAGUGGUCAGGCUGCGGCCUUCCAAGCCGCCUAUGUCGGGUUCGAUUCCCGCAGCCCGCUCCA